CUGUGAAAAUGUGUGAACCAGCAUUACCACCUGCCCUGGAGUGAGUUACGCUGCAAGUGAGGAUUUGGAGAUGAAGGUACUUGUGCCUGCAGGGUAGAUACAGCAGCGCUGCAGCCUGGGGGCUGGCUUCCAGGUGGGUGACAGGAAAGAACUCGAACUUCUGUCAAACCAAGCAUCCAGGAAGUUCCUUUUGUGUGUGAGCCCAACUUGGCUGCCUGGAUGUCUUGACCUCAUGGAACAAUUGCGUAAAUACAAAGCAUUUUUGUACUGCUUUCUUCUUCAAAGUGUUUUAUAAAUGUUAAAUCCCCUUAGUAACAAGUGGACCUUUGCUUCACCCAGAGUUACAGGUAAAGAAAGCCUCCAGUGCCAGGAUAUGAAACCAGACCAUCCCAACUGGGAGCUGUCUCACAGGCAGUGACAGGGACCGCCCGCAGCACUCGGCGUCAGCCUUUUCUUGGGUCUUGAAAAAUAUCUAGAAGAAUGAAGCCAGCUCUGAAAAUUGGUUUCACAUAUUCCUCUGGCUGCAGAGACCAGGCUUCCACCUGCGGUUCCAGAGCUGCCUCUUCCUUCAUGUUAACGAACGCAGCAGCGAUGCCAGAGCAGACGGGGAAUAGAAACCCUGGGGCUGGUAACCAAAGAGAGGACUAUGCUCCUGCAGCCACCGGAAUGUGCAAACGUAGGAGGCACCAUCUGAACCAGCACUGCCCUCCACGCACAGAUGAGCUGUGAACUCCUGGAAAAUGGGGAAGAUUUGGGGAGUCUGCGACUCCAGGAACCUACAUGACCUUGGAAAGCCAAAGAAGCCCCCUACCUCCUCCAGUUCCAAUUCUACUGGAGAGGCAGCCACAGAAGGUGCAUUUCACUCACUGAGCGACUCUGCAAGUGCUGCUCCACCAUCCCUGGCUGUCCUCAAGGACUCCACAGCCCAUUCCUACCUCUGUGUCAUGCUGGG